UUCUCGUACUCUCUUCUUUUCUCCUUCUUCUCUCUAUAUUCCUUCAAUCUCCCUUCAUCUGUUCAACAAUCAGACUGUGCCUAAGCAAUCCUGGUGUCAAAGAGCUUUCCAUUCCACCGAUUGGUUUAGUGUUUAGAGCUGUGAGCUAUAGAUGUUCUUAGGAUUUUCUGGAAGUGUGAGCAAAUUGCUGGAAGGGUAGAAGCUUUCUGUUCGGUUAAGAGGCGAUUUGCAAGUUGUUAGAGAAGUAUUGUAUUUACCAAGAAUGGGAGCAAGGAAAAGAUACAAAAGCAGGAUCUGAUGGAGCAGGGAAGGAAGUUCACGCCUGAGCGCCCUAGAAGAAGGGGGCUGGGCACCACUUUCUGCGCAAGCCUUGCGCCCAGGCGCGAACAAGAGGGCGCCGGGCGCGAGCAUCUGCGAGAGCUUCGCGCCCGGGCGCGAGA